rnacentral:lncRNA from 1 species
CAAUAAAGACAAACAUGAGAAGGUAAGUUGCUCACCUACAUCUUAGUGACUAAUAUAGCUACAUCCCAGGGCUCACAGAACUUUCCCACCUGUGCUUCCUUACAUGAUCCUCACAACACCCCUGCAAACCUACUGCUAUUAUCUUCAUCACUGGUAUUUUAUAGAACAGGAAACUUAGGCCCACGGAAGGUAAGCAACUUUCCUAAAUUCAUAUAAGUGACAAGGGGCUAGGAAAGGGGCUAGGACUCUGAGAUGCUGCUUUUGAAUCAGAAUCCUGUGCUAUUUCCACCAUGCUGAAUUUAUUGGAAAGGAAUGUGUAGAUAUACAGCCUCAGGAAUAACCUUACAUCUCAAUUAAUUAUUGCAAGAUGAUGAAGACAGAAAGGAUUACUGCCCUGAAAUCUCCCUUUGUUUCAGCAGUCACCUUAAAGUGUCCCACUCAUUUCCAUCUGCCUUCCCCACAGAUCUCGUGACUCUCACUGAGGAUGUUUCAGCAGUGUUACUCUGGGGACAGUCUCUGCCCUGUCUCUCUCUCCACGGCCACACUCCUACCUACUGUAGCAACCAGCACCAAGUCUUGAACCAGCUCCUGCUUCUGGAUGACAAGGAUGCAAGUGGCCACGUUGGGAAGGUCCACAUGGCAAGAACUGAGGAUGGCCUCCAGCCAAAAUCCAGGAAGAAACCGAGGCCCUCAAUCCAAUAACACACAAGUAACUGAAUGCUGUCAACACCACAUGAGCUUAGAAGCAGAUCCUUCCCCAGCUGAGCCUCCAAUGAGAUUGCAGCCCCAGCUGACACCUUUGUUGCACCUUUAUAAGACCCUGAAGCAGAGAACCCAGCUAAACCAUGUCCAGUCUCCUAACCCACAGAAAAUGAGAUAAUAAAUAUGUGCCACUUUAAGCCUCUAA